CUUCGGGGUACUCGAGCGGCGAACGGGUGAGUAACACGUGAGUAACCUGCCCUAGGCUUUGGGAUAACCCUCGGAAACGGGGGCUAAUACCGGAUAUGACUUCCUGUCGCAUGGUGGGGAGUGGAAAGUUUUUCGGCCUGGGAUGGACUCGCGGCCUAUCAGCUUGUUGGUGGGGUAAUGGCCUACCAAGGCGACGACGGGUAGCCGGCCUGAGAGGGCGACCGGCCACACUGGGACUGAGACACGGCCCAGACUCCUACGGGAGGCAGCAGUGGGGAAUAUUGCACAAUGGGCGAAAGCCUGAUGCAGCGACGCCGCGUGAGGGAUGACGGCCUUCGGGUUGUAAACCUCUUUCAGCAGGGACGAAGCGUAAGUGACGGUACCUGCAGAAGAAGCGCCGGCCAACUACGUGCCAGCAGCCGCGGUAAGACGUAGGGCGCGAGCGUUGUCCGGAUUUAUUGGGCGUAAAGAGCUCGUAGGCGGCUUGUCGCGUCGACUGUGAAAACCCGCAGCUCAACUGCGGGCCUGCAGUCGAUACGGGCAGGCUAGAGUUCGGUAGGGGAGACUGGAAUUCCUGGUGUAGCGGUGGAAUGCGCAGAUA
rnacentral:rRNA from 1 species